UAUGUACUCCCUCCGUCCGGAAAUACUUGUCGAAGGAAUGGAUGUAUCUAGACGUAUUUUAGUUCUAGAUACAUUCAUUUUUAUGCAUUUUUGCGACAAGUAUUUCUGGACGGAGGGAGUAUAUG
rfam:Triticum aestivum genome assembly, contig: Triticum_aestivum_CS42_TGACv1_scaffold_130028_2BL